GAUGAACGCUGGCGGCGUGCUUAACACAUGCAAGUCGAGCGAAGCGUAUUAGCGGAAGUUUUCGGAUGGAAGCGGAUAUGACUUAGCGGCGGACGGGUGAGUAACGCGUGGAUAACCUGCCUCAUACAGGGGGAUAACAGUUAGAAAUGACUGCUAAUACCGCAUAAGCGCACAGGACCGCAUGGUCCGGUGUGAAAAACUCCGGUGGUAUGGGAUGGAUCCGCGUCUGAUUAGCUGGUUGGUGAGGUAACGGCCCACCAAGGCGACGAUCAGUAGCCGACCUGAGAGGGUGGCCGGCCACAUUGGGACUGAGACACGGCCCAA
rnacentral:rRNA from 1 species